rfam:Triticum aestivum genome assembly, contig: Triticum_aestivum_CS42_TGACv1_scaffold_035300_1BL
UUUCUACUCCCUCCAUCCGAAAAUACUUGUCAUCAAAAUGGAUAAAAAUAGAUGUAUCUAAAACUAAAAUACGUCUAGAUACAUUUCCUUUUAUCCAUUUUGAUGACAAGUAUUUCCGGACGGAGGGAGUAUUUG